rnacentral:rRNA from 1 species
UACGUAGGGGGCGAGCGUUGUCCGGAUUCAUUGGGCGUAAAGAGCUCGUAGGCGGUUUGGAAAGUCGGGCGUGAAAUCCCACGGCUCAACCGUGGAAGUGCACUCGAAACUGCAUAGCUAGAGUCCUGGAGAGGAAGGUGGAAUGCUUGGUGUAGAGGUGAAAUUCGUAGAUAUCAAGCGGAACACCGGUGGCGAAGGCGGCCUUCUGGACAGUGACUGACGCUGAGACGCGAAAGCGUGGGGAGCAAACAGG